AAUCAUAUUGUAGGCAUCUAUGGUGAAGAUCACGAAAUUGCUACCGCAGUAUGUGUGGGAUUAGCUCCCGAUAAUUCCUAUACUGCAGCGAUUCCUCGCAAGUGUUCGAGUGGACGGUCUUGUAUUGACAUCUGUCAGUCUGUUUCUAACAUGGGCAAGGUUUCGGGCGGUGCUUUUCUUCGACCGCGAUGCAUUAACACGUUGCAUAUAUAUGCCAGUCGGGGUCCUAAGAACACACCCAACACCAAAUGGAUCAACACCUGGAAAUACGGAUUUCGCGGCUGUACAGCAACUCACUGUGGGCCAAACUUUUGUUGUUGUUCCAAAUAAAAGAUUUGAACACAUGAGUCAAUGAAAAUUGGAGACAA